GCGGGGUAACGGCCCACCAAGGCUACGAUCGGUAGGGGUUCUGAGAGGAAGGCCCCCCACAAUGGGACUGAGACACGGCCCAUACUCCUACGGGAGGCAGCAGUGAGGAAUAUUGGUCAAUGGGCGGAAGCCUGAACCAGCCAUGCCGCGUGCGGGAAGGAGGCCCUAUGGGCUGUGAACCGCUUUUGCCUGGGGGCAAUAAGGGCGUCGCGCACGUCCGAUGAGAGUACCAGGCGAAUAAGCAUCGGCUAACUCCGUGCCAGCAGCCGCGGUAAUACGGGGGAUGCGAGCGUUAUCCGGAUUCAUUGGGUUUAAAGGGUGCGUAGGCUGUGCGUCAAGUCGGGGGUGAAAUUCCGGUGCUCAACACCGGGGCUGCCCUUGAUACUGUCGCGCUGGAGUGCGGAUGCCGCCGGAGGAAUGAGUGGUGUAGCGGUGAAAUGCUUAGAUAUCACUCAGAACACCGAUUGCGAAGGCAUCUGGCGAAUCCGUAACUGACGCUGAGGCACGAAAGCGUGGGGAUAGAACAGGAUUAGAUACCCUGGUAUUCCACGCCGUAAACGAUGAUGGCUAACCGCCGGCGACACACUGUCGGUGGCCAAGCGAAAGCGAUAAGCCAUCCACCUGGGGAGUA
rnacentral:rRNA from 1 species